rnacentral:rRNA from 1 species
AGUGAACGCUGGCGGCAGGCCUAAUACAUGCAAGUCGAACGGCAGCACAGCAGAGCUUGCUCUGUGGGUGGCGAGUGGCGGACGGGUGAGGAAUACGUGGGAAUCUGUCCAGUCGUGGGGGAUAACGUAGGGAAACUUACGCUAAUACCGCAUGCGCCCUUCGGGGGAAAGCCGGGGACCUUCGGGCCUGGCGCGAUUGGAUGAGCCCACGUCGGAUUAGCUAGUUGGCGGGGUAAAGGCCCACCAAGGCGACGAUCCGUAGCUGGUCUGAGAGGAUGAUCAGCCACACUGGAACUGAGACACGGUCCAGACUCCUACGGGAGGCAGCAGUAGGGAAUAUUGGACAAUGGGCGCAAGCCUGAUCCAGCCAUGCCGCGUGAGUGAAGAAGGCCCUCGGGUUGUAAAGCUCUUUUGUCCGGAAAGAAAAGCGCCGGGUUAAUACCCUGGUGUCCUGACGGUACCGGAAGAAUAAGCAACCGGCUAAACUUCGUGCCAGCAGCCGCGGUAA